rnacentral:rRNA from 1 species
GAUGAACGCUGGCGGCGUGCUUAACACAUGCAAGUCGAGCGAGUGAGUUCUUCGGAACGAUCUAGCGGCGGACGGGUGAGUAACACGUGGGCAACCUGCCUCAUAGAGGGGAAUAGCCUCCCGAAAGGGAGAUUAAUACCGCAUAAAAUUAUCGAGUGGCAUCACAUGAUAAUCAAAGGAGUAAUCCGCUAUGAGAUGGGCCCGCGGCGCAUUAGCUAGUUGGUGAGGUAACGGCUCACCAAGGCGACGAUGCGUAGCCGACCUGAGAGGGUGAUCGGCCACAUUGGGACUGAGACACGGCCCAGACUCCUACGGGAGGCAGCAGUGGGGAAUAUUGCACAAUGGGGGAAACCCUGAUGCAGCAACGCCGCGUGAGUGAUGAAGGUCUUCGGACUGUAAAGCUCUGUCUUUGGGGACGAUAAUGACGGUACCCAAGGAGGAAGCCACGGCUAACUACGUGUCAGCAGCCGCAGUAA